ACAGAUAUGAAAGUGGUGUGAAUCUUCUCAACUAACUCUCAGCAAAAAAGUGAAAGAGAGUAUCUCACAAAAUU